GAAUACUACCCCUGAUGCCCUUAAGUGUUCAAGGUCUUCCUUGAAAACUGAAGCAUGGCUGCUAAGUACAUCCUCUAAAUUCUUGCUUGCGGUUGGAUUUAACAAGGGCCAGUUCAGGGUGAUUGAAUGUAACCACUCCCUGCCGAACAGGGUGGGUCCACUCCCGGGAAUGACAUAUAAGGGAAGGGAAGUGUCUUGGUUUCCGUAGCGCACUUUGACUGUUAUGGCUCCAAGCGGAACCAAGUUCUCUCCUGUGUAGGUAUGUAGUUUUAGAUCAGUAUGUUCCAGGGGCACAUGACGCAAACACCCGCGUUAUUUGGCCUCGCAUAUAACUGAGACAGCAGCCCCAGUAUCUAGUUCCAUUAGAAACCCUUCUACCUUUAUGUCGACACUGGUGGGUUACCUAGAUGGCUUAGAGCCCACUCCAUACAAUCCAUGCCAUCCAUCGUCACCCUAUGUUUCCUCUCUCCCAUAGUUUUCGUUCAUAACCUUGACCCCUGUAUGGGUGCCUGUGGUUUCUCAUUGGGCUUGACCUGCCGGCAUGCUGUCUUAAUGUGCCCUAUUUUGCCACAUGAGAAACACUUGGAUUGACUGAAAACGCUGGACUGUGGGUCGUGCUUCCCGUUACAGCGGUAACAUUUUGAAACUGUAGCACUCUGGGGUGGUUUCCUUGGGUCCCCUGUGGUAUCCCCAUCUCGCAAAAAAUGCUUUUGGCCAUUAUUUUCCUCCAGUUUAUUCACCUCGAGAUGGAGCUAUUCCGUCCUAAAUGCCAAGACAUAUUUAUUUGCCUGUUCGACCGCUUGGCACUUUCGCACAGCAUUUUCAAAGUUCAAGUCGACGAGUUUCUCUUUCAGUAGUUCUCUCAACAUCUUGUCGUCUCUAAUUCCAGACAAUAACCUGUCUCGCAUUCUUUCGCUUCUUACUUCAUCGGAAAACUUGCAAUCUCCAGCCAAGUGCUUGAGCGUAGCCACGUACUCGCUUACGGACUCCACUGGUUUGCGAUAACGGUUAUCGAACUCGUAUCGCGCCACAAGGGCAGACUUCUCUGGCUUCGUGUGUUCUUUCAGUGUUUUCACAAUAACAUCAUACGUUAUCGUGUCGUCCUUCGGUUUUAGCAGGCUGUAUCAAAUUCUUCAAGAGUUGGAACGUAUCGGGAUUCAGAUUAGCUAAAACAAUUGCUUUCUUGGUCUACAAAUUCUGCGCGCUCUCUCCGAUCAAGCACGCUAUCUCCAUGGUAACAUCAAUCAAAAACAUGCAUAACAGCCACCUGGAUGGAGCUUCUGGGAGUACCCCCCACACAAUGACACUCCUCAAGCUUGCACUCAAGGCCACCUGGAUGGAGCUUCUGGGAGUACCCACCAUACAAUGAGACACUCCUCAAGCUUGCACACAAGGCCACCUGGAUGGAGCUUCUGGGAGUAUCCACCUUACAAUAACACUCAUCAAGCUUGUACACAAGGCCACCUGGAUGGAGCUUCUGGGAGUACCCACCACACAAUGACACUCCUCUAGCUUGUACACAAGGCCACCUGGAUGGAGCUUCUGGGAGUAUCCACCACACAAUGACACUCCUCAAGCUUGCACACAAGGCCACCUGGAUGGAGCUUCUGGGAUUACCCCCACACAAUGACACUCCUCAAGCUUGCACACAAGGCCACCUGGAUGGAGCUUCUGGGAGUACCCACCACACAAUAACACUCCUCUAGCUUGCACACAAGGCCACCUGGAUGGAGCUUCUGGGAGUACCCACCACACAAUGACACUCAAGCUUGCACGCAAGGCCACCUGGAUGGAGCUUGUGGGAGUACCCACCACACAAUGACACUCCUCAAGCUUGCACACAAGGCCACCUGGAUGGAGCUUCUGGGAGUAUCCACCACACAAUGACACUCCUCAAGCUUGCACUCAAGGCCACCUGGAUGGAGCUUGUGGGAGUACCCACCACACAAUGACACUCCUCUAGCUUGUACACAAGGCCACCUGGAUGGAGCUUCUGGGAGUAUCCACCACACAAUGACACUCCUCAAGCUUGCACACAAGGCCACCUGGAUGGAGCUUCUGGGAGUACCCACCACACAAUGACACUCCUCUAGCUUGCACACAAGGCCACCUGGAUGGAGCUUCUGGGAGUAUCCACCACACAAUGACACUCCUCAAGCUUGCACACAAGGCCACCUGGAUGGAGCUUCUGGGAUUACCCCCACACAAUGACACUCCUCAAGCUUGCACACAAGGCCACCUGGAUGGAGCUUCUGGGAGUACCCACCACACAAUGACACUCCUCUAGCUUGUACACAAGGCCACCUGGAUGGAGCUUCUGGGAGUAUCCACCACACAAUGACACUCCUCAAGCUUGCACACAAGGCCACCUGGAUGGAGCUUCCGGUGUCACAUGUAAGGGAGCGCCUACAAACAAGCCAGCCUAUGUCCGUCACAGAUUACCUGUAUGAGUUGUUUCCUAGGGUCACUGAUCCCAACUACAUAUUCAUGUUUAACAUGUUGUUUAGAUACUUUGGUGGGCUUUUCGUCCAUCAUAAUGGAAUCAGGAGAAACAACUCAGACUAUGUCAAUGCUGGAAUGGAGGCCUUUGCAAGCCGUUUUCACUACAAACGGACAUCAAAGUAUGCUGAAGUGGACUUGCAAGGCAGUUAAAAAUGUUUGCUGUUGGUUUUUAAAAGCUCCUAACAAGUAUGAAAAUGUCCAAUCAGUAUUGAUUUUAACUAUGAAAUUCUCAUAGGACCUAGUUAAAAGGUAUGGAUACAUAUUUUCCAGAACACACAAUCAUGUGUCAAUGUUUUAAAAUAAUCAAUACUAAGGGGUACUAAUCAUUUUUAUUAUGUCAUUUUCAUGGUUAAAGGUUGGCAAGGGUGUCCUAAAUAUAUCAUUGAUUUGCUAAACAAGUAUGAAAGUGUGUCCACCUCUUGCAAUCCAUCAAAGGGUGAGGACAUGUAUUCCCACCUGGAGGAAAUAAACAAGGCAUCUAAGGUGGCUAAGAAUCUUCAGGAAUCUGGAAAAGUUGACUGAGCUUCGAAGCUGGUUGUUUACAGCAUGUGACAUGAAGGACCCUAAAGAUGAUGCUGUCAAGUUAGAUCGGAGAUACAAUAUGGAAGCGGAGAUUCUGGCACGGAGGGUUAAGCUUAGAAAAGAAAGAUGUCUGAUGGAGCCAUUUCACGUACGACCUCACAAAGGAGUCGGGGAGAAGCUCCUAGAUGCUGACUUGGUCAACUUUAUGUCAUUGCAGAGCAAUCGCAGAAAUGCACUGAUUGAUAUUUUAGAGCAGGGCCACAUUAGCAAAGCAUCUAGCAUAGAAAAUGUCCAUAUAACACCAUAGGACAGACAAAGGGCUGAAGAACAACAGCACCAAAGGUCAGAUCGCCCUGUUUAUACAGGAUAAGUUGGACAUGCUGCAGGAUAGCGAGGUUAUGGGAGAUUUGGUUCAAAAGUGCAAUCAAUUCAGAGGUGAAAAAGGUAAAAAAGCUGACCUCAUUAACUUGUACAAUUUUGUUUGUGAGGAGCUAAGCUCCCAGGAAGAGCUCGAGAAUGAGAGUGUAAAGGCAUUUCAGUCUUUGCACACUUCUACACAGUUUUACAGAAAGUUGUAAUAGACAAAACAGUGUGUGGAAACAAGCCAAGGUGUGAAAGAUGCGAAGACAAAUAAAUUAGGAAACCACAUUUUACUUUUUAUCAAUAACAUAUUGAUUUAAUACUAAAUGUCUUGCUGGUGUUCUUGAUUCUCAUAUUUUAAAGAGAUGAGGAUAACAUAACAAAGAUGUAUAAUUCUGACAGUUCUGAUUGCAAUUGAUUGAUGUUACAUCAACUAUGAAAAGAAACAGGAACCACAA